GUUCUAUGCUUUGUUGAUGAUGCUCAGAAUGCCUAAAGCAUAGCACAGACGGAUGCUCAACGGAUGACGGCAGCAUCUUGAGCGAAUGGUAUCAGAAGGGUACAGAGGCAAGAAAAUCUAUAUUGUUUCAAUAAGAACAGGUUCUGAGGACCCAUGGCUCUUGCAGUUCUCACUGUUGUUACCUUUUGUCUUGUGAGCUGCACGAAUUUAGCCAAGGAUAGUACUUUUGGCAAAUAGGAGGAGAUCCAAAUAGCCUAGAUCCCACGAAGGAUCUUCAUGCGUACUUCGAACAAUCACACAAAGACAGCCCGCAGAAAUUACUGGCCUGAUGUUCCACGUACCUGGGGACAGCCCUGUUCCUGGCCACCUUGCACCUGCCCUGCUCCAGCCCCGGAAUCAGUCUUUUGUCCAUGGAGCCUGGGGGUCAGAGACCAAGAUCUCUGCAUUCGUUUGCCAGCUACUGCCCUCUCUGGACUUUGAGCCCAAGGGGAAAAGGAGAUCAGCAAGCGUCAGAACCAUUUCUCCUUGACUAAUCAGAGGGACUUGGAAAGAGCAAUGGAAAGGGAAGACCUUUCUUUGUCACCAUGGGAGUCAACGUUGUAGGAGUUAUCCACAUCAACUGAGACCGCCCUGUGUAUCAUGGGAGGCAGACACCCCCUAAGCUGAGAAACGCUAACGUCAGAGGAGCAGUUAAAGAGUAGUUCUCAGCUGGGGCUCUGGAACGAAAGAGCAUCGUAAGAGAAAAGCCUAUGCAUUUAUUUCAUGCGGAGAGAUCCGAAGAUGUGUGCGAGUGCCUGCCCGGAGUCAGACUGCAAUGAAAGCCAGCGAUGCCUUUGGUGGCCCCUGAAAUGCUCAGUCUUCCUCCUGUCCAGCGGUGUGGUGAUCUCCAACAUACACUUCAAGAGCACCUCCUUACCAGAUCCCACCUGAGCGAAGGUUCUGAGCUCGUAGUAUUACUGUUUCAAAGAAACAUGACGGUACUUUCCUCGCGUGCGUGUCUGUGUUUAUUGAUCUGUCUGUACAUGUAUCUCGGGAGGAGAGGGAGGUGGGAUCCAACCAGUGCAGGGGGCGUUAGAACAGGCGGGUACAGAGAGGCAGUGUUCAGGUUCCGGCAUCUGAACUACGAUUUUCGCCCAUAGUGUCACAAGCCAAGUUUUGUUGAGAAACAUGAUUCACAUUUUCUUUUGUCUCCUCCAGGAGCCUGGCCCCUGGCACCAUAGUUUUAGACUAGAGGGUUCCCAUCAGCACAUAGGGGAGGGGAGAAAGCCUGUCCCUGUCACCCCAGGAGAACGCGGGAGGGAAGGGAGGGGACAGGCAAGGUAGAGGGGAAGGCGGAUGCUAAGAUCCUCAUUUUCUCUUCCUGCCCCCUCAAGGAAGCUGGAGGCAGCUUCAGAAAUAUCUAGAAGUGUGUUCAAAAGCUGGAAGGCGGCGGGGCAUCUGGGCUCCUUCCCGUUUAUGGCUGUGGGCUGCCUGCUUUCUCCAGCUUGGGCACAACUCCAUCAAAGUGACCGCAGCAGCACCACAAGGGCCUAACUCGGAUCGCGGACGUGACCUCCUGGUUUACAGAACUUUCUAUGGCGCUCCGUGACUCGUUCCCUCCCGCGUGUUCUCAUGGCAUCUCACGCAGAAACAUAGUCACGUAUCGCCUGAGCUGGACCGGGAGUCUUCAGUGACAGGUGAAAGCCACGAUCAUCUCUGAGUUUCUAGCCCAGAGAGGGAGAGGCACACUGCGGGCUGCCUUGCUUAAGGCUCUUCAUACCCUCAACCAGAGGGUCCUGGGUACAGCAGAGGCCGGAAAGCAGAAAAAGACAUUCCGAGCUAGGUUUCCAUGAUUAAUUUAAGUCCUGCCGGUCAGGCAUUCAUGUGAGACUCUGAUUUAAGACCGAGCGACGUUUUGCAAAAGGCAAGAGACGGGGCAUUCAUUUUGCUGGGGUGGAUCUUGGUGUUUAAAUUGUGACAGCAAUUCCUAAGGCAGACAGAUCUAUAGAGUCUGUAGUCCACACACAUUUGUCCUGGGGGGGAAGAAAGGAUAAACUUAAUGAAACUGCUCCCUUACAGAUUGCCAACAGCAUCUAAGAAUUGAUAACGGUCCCCAUCCCAGUUAGCCAGUUCCCCAUUACUUUCCCACUUGCCUUUUCACAGAAAGCAGGCCUUGUGUUGUAUUUGAUCUAGUUCUAUUAGAAAUCCUGUUGCAUUUGCCCCAGAGUCUAGUCGUUGAAAAGAGUGGGAAACAGUAAACCACAACAACAGCAUAAUCAGAAGGAAGGGUUAUUACCGGCAGCAAAGUCAGCAAAUGCUCCCUGAAUUCCCCAAAAUCACACCAAAGAGGUAGGAAGAUAAGCUUCCACGUCGUGCUUCUCCUUAAGGUUUAUUUGUAUGACUUCAAUUAUAUUGCUUUCCACCUUUGGGAUUCUGUGCUUCUUUGGCAUCUAGGAUUUAUGAGCAAAUUAGAGAGUACACCAGGAAAGGUUCCGUAGACAUGGGAAGGAGGUGGAAUUUUACCAGCAAGGCAAAGGAAGGCUCAGGGAUUUGCUGAAGAUCCCGGUGAGUUGGCAACCAAACUGGACCCCUUUCUAUCGUGCAUCUCCGAAAGUGGCUGUGUUUUCAAUAAACUUUUUGGUAGGAGUUGAGAAUGGCCGUAGCAGGCACCCCAGAGCCAAGAGGCCAAGCCUAGUGAAGUCCUGCCAGGCUCCCGAGUAGUGGGGUGGGGAAAAGGACGUCAGAGCGUCAACGGAGCCAUGGGAACCAGAAAGGGCAGCACGCUGUUCAUAGCCAGGGCUUUGGUGCGUUCUUAUAAGCGAUGGCACCAGGGCUGAAUGAAUAUCUGUAUGAAUCUUAGUUUAAGAGUCAGACAGACCGGGGGUGCUUGGGUGGCUCAGUCAGUUAAAUGUCCGACUCCCAGUUUCAGCUCAGGUCAU